UGCAGCACCUGACGGGUGCAAUUUCACACCUGGUGUCUGCCUUCCUUUUACCACAUCAGAACCAUUUGCUGGCAGAAGGCUUCCCGUUGCCUCUGGUGCAACAGCUUGGCGUCGACCAUCUCAACGCUGCCCCUGGCCAGAACGCUCUUCUGCUCUUCGCUCCCCCCUUGGCUUCCUGAAUGUGGGAAUCAAGAUCCUGACCUGAAUCAGACGGAAGGAUCCUGGAACAAGAUGGAUAAUGCUGCUGCUGCUGCUGCUGCUUCCCUUCCCUUCCCCCUUUACGCCUCUGCUUUCGUAGGAUUGUAGAAUGGGAAGAGACCCCGAGGGUCAUCUAGUCCACCCCCUGCAAUGCACGGGUCACAACUGAAGCACCCCUGACAGGCAGAGCUUUGGACCUCUGGAGCCUGUGACAUCCCUUGGCUCUCAUUCUCUCUCUCUCUGCCUCAGGGGCUCGAAAGCAGCAAUGGAUCCUUUGCAAUGCGAUUUCUGGAGCUAGAUUUGCCUCCUGCCAUUUGGGAAUGGCACAAAUGUCAAACCUAAAAGUGUUGGCACCUGAGUCUUGAGACCACAGGAAAUCCCGUAAGGCUGGCGUCAAAUCCUGCUCUUGGAAAACCUUGCCUUGAAUGUCUGUUGUUUGAAAGCAGUGGAGUGUUUGGCCCAGAGCCUUGCUGCAGGGUUCCCUCUGUGAAUUGCUAAGAUGUUCUGCUUGCUUAUCUUGCCUUGAUAA